UUCUUUCUUUCUUUCUUUUUUUUUUUUUUUUGAGACAGGGUUUCACUGUAUAGCCCUGGCUGUCCUGGAACUCAAACUCAGAAAUCUACCUGCCUCUGCCUCCCAAGUGGUGAGACUAAAGGGGUGCGCCACCACCGCCCAACCCUGGCAAAGUCAUCUUAAUCACUGAAUAUGUACUGAAAAUAUGGAUUUCUCCCACCUCCACAUUUUCACCACAGGAGGAAAGAUUUUCUCUCCUCUAGUCCAUAAAAUAACCAGGCAAGCUUGGUAUCCCUCACUGUCGCACAGGUGACCUGCCUCGGUUGGAAUACCUUUUAAUGCACCCUUAACCUUUCCAUGCAGGUUUCUUGUCAUGCAGGGUCACUGUAGGAAGGGGUGAGCAAGCAGAGGUGAGACACAAGGUUCGGCAAUAUGGAAGAAUUCUUCCUCUUUUCCCUCACCAGCAGGCUGCCCUCAUAAAUUUCAUGGAAAGGCCAAGGAGGAACUACUUAACAUCUUCUGGCUGACAAGAGCUCACGGUGAUGAGAAUGCUUUUUCUGUGAUCCACUACGUCCUACAAACGUGAGAUUCAGAGCUAGCAAGAGGGCUGACAACCUGAGUUCAAGCCCUGGGACUCACAUGGUGGAAAGAGAGAGCGAACUUCUGGUACCUAUCUUCUGAGAUCCCCCGUGCAUGCUGAGACACAGCCCUCUCCCCUUUCCCCAGAUAAUAAUUGAGAUAUUAAAAAUUUAAAAAAGC
rnacentral:lncRNA from 1 species